GGGUUGUGAGGUUAAGCGACUAAGCGUACACGGUGGAUGCCCUGGCAGUCAGAGGCGAUGAAGGGCGUGCUAAUCUGCGAUAAGCGCCGGUAAGGUGAUAUGAACCGUUAUAACCGGCGAUACCCGAAUGGGGAAACCCAGUGUGAUUCGUCACACUAUCAUUAACUGAAUCCAUAGGUUAAUGAGGCGAACCGGGGGAACUGAAACAUCUAAGUACCCCGAGGAAAAGAAAUCAACCGAGAUUCCCCCAGUAGCGGCGAGCGAACGGGGAGGAGCCCAGAGCCUGAAUCAGCAUGUGUGUUAGUGGAAGCGUCUGGAAAGGCGCGCGAUACAGGGUGACAGCCCCGUACACAAAAGCGCAUGUGCUGUGAGCUCGAUGAGUAGGGCGGGACACGUGGUAUCCUGUCUGAAUAUGGGGGGACCAUCCUCCAAGGCUAAAUACUCCUGACUGACCGAUAGUGAACCAGUACCGUGAGGGAAAGGCGAAAAGAACCCCGGCGAGGGGAGUGAAAAAGAACCUGAAACCGUGUACGUACAAGCAGUGGGAGCCCCACCACUAAGCCAGUGGUGAACUCCACAUACGCAUCCUUUGCUGAGGAUACGGUUAACGGAGCGAAAGCGACGUUCAACCGCAAAAGAAGCAGAGGGGGCUUAGUGGUGGGGUGACUGCGUACCUUUUGUAUAAUGGGUCAGCGACUUAUAUUCUGUAGCAAGGUUAACCGAAUAGGGGAGCCGGAGGGAAACCGAGUCUUAAUUGGGCGUUAAGUUGCAGGGUAUAGACCCGAAACCCGGUGAUCUAGCCAUGGGCAGGUUGAAGGUUGGGUAACACUAACUGGAGGACCGAACCGACUAAUGUUGAAAAAUUAGCGGAUGACCUGUGGCUGGGGGUGAAAGGCCAAUCAAACCGGGAGAUAGCUGGUUCUCCCCGAAAGCUAUUUAGGUAGCGCCUCGUGAAUUCAUCUCCGGGGGUAGAGCACUGUUUCGGCUAGGGGGCCAUCCCGGCUUACCAACCCGAUGCAAACUGCGAAUACCGGAGAAUGUUAUCACGGGAGACACACGGCGGGUGCUAACGUCCGUCGUGAAGAGGGAAACAACCCAGACCGCCAGCUAAGGUCCCAAAGUCAUGGUUAAGUGGGAAACGAUGUGGGAAGGCCCAGACAGCCAGGAUGUUGGCUUAGAAGCAGCCAUCAUUUAAAGAAAGCGUAAUAGCUCACUGGUCGAGUCGGCCUGCGCGGAAGAUGUAACGGGGCUAAACCAUGCACCGAAGCUGCGGCAGCGAACGUAUCACUUAAAGCGAUUCAGCGGGUUACGAUUGACGGAGCGAAGCGACGUCAAAGCGUAUACAAAGUCGAGUCGGUUUAAGGAUACGUUCGUUGGGUAGGGGAGCGUUCUGUAAGCCUGCGAAGGUGGCCUGUGAGGGUUGCUGGAGGUAUCAGAAGUGCGAAUGCUGACAUAAGUAACGAUAAAGCGGGUGAAAAGCCCGCUCGCCGGAAGACCAAGGGUUCCUGUCCAACGUUAAUCGGGGCAGGGUGAGUCGACCCCUAAGGCGAGGCCGAAAGGCGUAGUCGAUGGGAAACGGGUUAAUAUUCCCGUACUUGGUGUUACUGCGAAGGGGGGACGGAGAAGGCUAUGUUGGCCGGGCGACGGUUGUCCCGGUUUAAGCGUGUAGGUGUGUGUUCCAGGUAAAUCCGGUUCACUUUAACACUGAGGCGUGACGACGAGGCACUACGGUGCUGAAGCAACAAAUGCCCUGCUUCCAGGAAAAGCCUCUAAGCAUCAGGUAACAUCAAAUCGUACCCCAAACCGACACAGGUGGUCAGGUAGAGAAUACCAAGGCGCUUGAGAGAACUCGGGUGAAGGAACUAGGCAAAAUGGUGCCGUAACUUCGGGAGAAGGCACGCUGACACGUAGGUGAAGUGAUUUACUCAUGGAGCUGAAGUCAGUCGAAGAUACCAGCUGGCUGCAACUGUUUAUUAAAAACACAGCACUGUGCAAACACGAAAGUGGACGUAUACGGUGUGACGCCUGCCCGGUGCCGGAAGGUUAAUUGAUGGGGUCAGCGCAAGCGAAGCUCCUGAUCGAAGCCCCGGUAAACGGCGGCCGUAACUAUAACGGUCCUAAGGUAGCGAAAUUCCUUGUCGGGUAAGUUCCGACCUGCACGAAUGGCGUAAUGAUGGCCAGGCUGUCUCCACCCGAGACUCAGUGAAAUUGAACUCGCUGUGAAGAUGCAGUGUACCCGCGGCAAGACGGAAAGACCCCGUGAACCUUUACUAUAGCUUGACACUGAACAUUGAGCCUUGAUGUGUAGGAUAGGUGGGAGGCUUUGAAGUGUGGACGCCAGUCUGCAUGGAGCCGACCUUGAAAUACCACCCUUUAAUGUUUGAUGUUCUAACGUGGACCCGUAAUCCGGGUUGCGGACAGUGUCUGGUGGGUAGUUUGACUGGGGCGGUCUCCUCCUAAAGAGUAACGGAGGAGCACGAAGGUUGGCUAAUCCUGGUCGGACAUCAGGAGGUUAGUGCAAUGGCAUAAGCCAGCUUGACUGCGAGCGUGACGGCGCGAGCAGGUGCGAAAGCAGGUCAUAGUGAUCCGGUGGUUCUGAAUGGAAGGGCCAUCGCUCAACGGAUAAAAGGUACUCCGGGGAUAACAGGCUGAUACCGCCCAAGAGUUCAUAUCGACGGCGGUGUUUGGCACCUCGAUGUCGGCUCAUCACAUCCUGGGGCUGAAGUAGGUCCCAAGGGUAUGGCUGUUCGCCAUUUAAAGUGGUACGCGAGCUGGGUUUAGAACGUCGUGAGACAGUUCGGUCCCUAUCUGCCGUGGGCGCUGGAGAACUGAGGGGGGCUGCUCCUAGUACGAGAGGACCGGAGUGGACGCAUCACUGGUGUUCGGGUUGUCAUGCCAAUGGCACUGCCCGGUAGCUAAAUGCGGAAGAGAUAAGUGCUGAAAGCAUCUAAGCACGAAACUUGCCCCGAGAUGAGUUCUCCCUGAGACUUAGAGUCUCCUGAAGGAACGUUGAAGACGACGACGUUGAUAGGCCGGGUGUGUAAGCGCAGCGAUGCGUUGAGCUAACCGGUACUAAUGAACCGUGAGGCUUAACCUUACAACGCCGAAG
rnacentral:rRNA from 1 species